GAAAUGCGAUAAGUAAUGUGAAUUGCAGAAUUCAGUGAAUCAUCGAAUCUUUGAACGCACCUUGCGCUCAUUGGUAUUCCGAGGAGCAUGCCUGUUUGAGUGUCAUGGAAUUCUCAACUCUAUUUGCUUUUGUGAAUAGAGCUUGGAUUUGGAGGUUUAUUGCUGGUACUUGUGAUCGGCUCCUCUUGAUUGCAUUAGCUCGAACCUUUGCGGAUCAGCUAUCGGUGUGAUAAUUGUCUACGCCGUUGCAGUGAAGCAUAUCAAUGGGCUCGGCUUCCAAUCGUCCUUUACUGGACAAUGACUUUGACCUUUGACCUCAAAUCAGGUAGGAUUACCCGCUGAACUUAAGC
rnacentral:misc_RNA from 1 species